AGGUGAGUCAGAGCUCGGGGGAAAGUUUGAGAGAGGGUGAGCGCGAGCUGAGCGCGGCUGGAUUAUUCGCGCGCGCGGAGAUGACUGCGGGAUGGCGGUAGCGGCCGCGGGUCCCGCGCAGCGCGCGCACAGGAGCGGGUUCGUGGAGGUGCUCGUGCGCGAGCAGUGGCACCGCGUGUUCGCGAGUUUGGGCGACGAGGCGCUGACCCUGAGCUGUGAGGAGAACGGGCACGCGCACGAGCAUGUAAACGGCGAGGCGGAUGCGGGGGCGCGCGGCGCGUUCACGUUCUCCGAGGCUGAGGAACAUGUUCCCGAGACCAUCGCUAACAGGAAGCGCUGCGUGAAGGUGGUGAAGCAGGACAUGGGCGGGCUGGGCAUCAGCAUUAAAGGUGGGAAGGAGAACAAGAUGCCCAUCCUCAUCAGCAAGAUCUUUAAGGGUCUGGCGGCGGAUCAGACGCAGGCGCUGUACGUGGGGGACGCCAUCCUGUCGGUAAACAAGGUGAACCUGCGGGACGCCACCCACGACGAGGCCGUGCAGGCCCUGAAGAAAGCCGGCCGAGAGGUCACGCUGGACGUGAAGUACAUACGAGAAGCCACACCAUACGUGAAGAAGGGAUCUCCUGUGUCUGAGAUCGGAUGGGAAACUCCUCCCCCUGAAUCUCCACGGCUUGGCAGUCCCCUCUCAGACACCCCCACCCUGCCCUCACUUUCCCUCCAGGGAGACCGCAGAUACAUCCCUCUCAGAAUGUGCUACAUCACCCGGGCUAUGACCACACCUGACCCAGAGAACAGGCAGUUGGAGCUGCACUCUCCGGAUGGGAAGCACACUGUGGUUCUGCGCUGUUCGGACUCGGCCUCGGCUCAGGCCUGGUUGGCGCCCCUGCAGUCCGUGGCCUCCAGCCUCAUGGAUAAAGUUGUCUCGGAGCUUCGGGAACACGUGGCACGGAAUGGCAUCGGCGGGACCCGGGAUAUACGCCACCUCGGCUGGCUGGCAGAGAGGACGGAGAGGGAGCAGCGGUGCUGGAGGCCGGUGGUGGUGGUGGUGACGGACAGGGAUCUGCGGCUGUAUGAUAGCAUGGCUCGCAUGAAGGAGAACUGGCUCAACCCCAAACACACCUACCCUCUACUCUCUACACGGCUGGUCCACUCCGGCCCGGAGAGAGGGUCUCCUCAGCCGGGAGGGGAGCUGUCCUUUGCCACACGGACGGGCACGCGACUUGGCAUCGAGACCCACGUGUUCCGCGCUGAGACCUGCAAAGAACUUUCCCUGUGGACCCGCCACAUAGUGACCGGUUGCCACGCCUCUGCCGAGAUGAUCAAAGAAGUAACAACCAGCUGCAGGUAUAAGGGUCUGGACUGCAGGCUGGUCAUCCACUAUGAGCUGGGCUUCUCUGUGGUGGAGGAGGUGGAGGACUCUCACGGUCAGACGCUCUUCAGUUACCCCUUUGAGAAACUGCGGAUGUCCUCGGACAACGGCGUGCGGAUGCUGUAUUUGGAUUUCGGAGGAACAGAGGGGGAAGUUCAGCUGGACCUGCAUUCCUGCCCCAAACCCAUCGUCUUCAUCCUCCACUCCUUCCUCUCAGCCAAGAUCACCAGACUGGGCUUAGUGGCCUAAGAGGAACUGGAUCCAGCAGGGACUUUAAUAAGCUGGGACGGGACCAUGGAGGAGGACUGGGACCAUGGAGAAAGACAGGGACGUUAAAGAAGGAUAGAGGUUAGAAAGACUGUAAUGUUGGAACAUGAGGACAUUGGUGGAGGGGAGUACGAUAUCAAAGGACUAAGACGCUGGAGGAGGUCGGGGACGCUGGAGGAGGUCGGGGACGCUGGAGGAGGUCGGGGACGCUGGAGGAGAACAGGGACGUUGGAGGUGAA